rnacentral:rRNA from 1 species
GACAGAGGGUGCAAACGUUGUUCGGAAUUACUGGGCGUAAAGCGCGUGUAGGCUGUUCGGAAAGUCGGAUGUGAAAGCCCUGGGCUCAACCCAGGAAGUGCAUUCGAAACUCCCGAACUGGAGUCCUGGAGAGGAAGGCGGAAUUCUCGGUGUAGAGGUGAAAUUCGUAGAUAUCGAGAGGAACAUCGGUGGCGAAGGCGGCCUUCUGGACAGUGACUGACGCUGAGACGCGAAAGCGUGGGUAGCAAACAGG